rnacentral:rRNA from 1 species
GACGAACGCUGGCGGCGUGCCUAAUACAUGCAAGUAGAACGCUGAAGGAGGAGCUUGCUUCUCUGGAUGAGUUGCGAACGGGUGAGUAACGCGUAGGUAACCUGCCUGGUAGCGGGGGAUAACUAUUGGAAACGAUAGCUAAUACCGCAUAAGAGCAGAUGUCGCAUGACAUUUGCUUAAAAGGUGCAAUUGCAUCACUACCAGAUGGACCUGCGUUGUAUUAGCUAGUUGGUGAGGUAACGGCUCACCAAGGCAACGAUACAUAGCCGACCUGAGAGGGUGAUCGGCCACACUGGGACUGAGACACGGCCCAGACUCCUACGGGAGGCAGCAGUAGGGAAUCUUCGGCAAUGGACGGAAGUCUGACCGAGCAACGCCGCGUGAGUGAAGAAGGUUUUCGGAUCGUAAAGCUCUGUUGUAAGAGAAGAACGAGUGUGAGAGUGGAAAGUUCACACUGUGACGGUAUCUUACCAGAAAGGGACGGCUAACUACGUG